AUGUAAGUUUUAGCGAGGAUUUUUGUUUAUUUGAAUAAUAAAUAAAUUUUAUUAUAGCCGCAGUAAUUAGUAUUAUUAAUUAAAGAAAUUUAGAAAUAGUAAUUUCAGUUAGUAUUGGCUAAAUUUGUGCCAGCAGCCGCGGUUACACUCAUAAUGCAAAUAAAUCUGAUUCGGUAUGAGUUAAAUUUUUUUAUUAAUAGAAUAAAAAUAAAUUUAUUAGGUGAAAUUUUAAAUUUAUUAAGCUCUAUAGUUGAAUUAAUUGAAGCUUGUAAAUUUUAAUAUAAAACUAGGAUUAGAUACCCUAUUAUUUAAAAUGUAAAUAGUUUACUAAGGUAGUAAUAGUUAUGUUCUUGAAACUUAAAAGAUUUGGCGGUAUUUUAGUCUAUUCAGAGGAAUUUGUCCUGUAAUCGAUAUUCCACGAUGGACCUUACUUAAGUUUGUUUAUCAGUUUAUAUACCGUCGUUAUUAGAAUAUUUUAUUAGAAUAAUAAUUUUCUAGAUUUUUUAUGAAAAUUUAUAUCAGAUCAAGGUGUAGCUUAUAUUUAAGUAGAGAUGAAUUACAAUAAAUUUAUUUAAACGGAGUUUCAAUUUGAAAUGUUUAAUGAAGGUGGAUUUGAUAGUAAAAUUAAAUAGAUUAUUAAUUUGAUUUUAGCUCUAAAAUAUGUACACAUCGCCCGUCGCUCUUAUUAUUAAGGUAAGAUAAGUCGUAACAUAGUAGAUGUACUGGAAAGUGUAUCUAGAAUG
rnacentral:ncRNA from 1 species